rnacentral:rRNA from 1 species
CAGUAGCCGCGGUAAUACGUAGGUGGCAAGCGUUGUCCGGAAUUAUUGGGCGUAAAGCGCGCGCAGGCGGAUCAGUUAGUCUGUCUUAAAAGUUCGGGGCUUAACCCCGUGAGGGGAUGGAAACUGCUGAUCUAGAGUAUCGGAGAGGAAAGUGGAAUUCCUAGUGUAGCGGUGAAAUGCGUAGAUAUUAGGAAGAAUACCAGUGGCGAAGGCGACUUUCUGGACGAAAACUGACGCUGAGGCGCGAAAGCCAGGGGAGCGAACGGGAUUAGAUACCCCGGUAGUCCCUGUCUCUUAUACA